UGCCAGCAGCCGCGGUAAUACGGAGGGGGUUAGCGUUGUUCGGAAUUACUGGGCGUAAAGCGCACGUAGGCGGAUUAGAAAGUUAGAGGUGAAAUCCCGGGGCUCAACCCCGGAACUGCCUUUAAAACUACUAGUCUAGAGUUCGAGAGAGGUAAGUGGAAUUCCAAGUGCAGAGGUGAAAUUCGUAGAUAUUUGGAGGAACACCAGUGGCGAAGGCGGCUUACUGGCUCGAUACUGACGCUGAGGUGCGAAAGCAUGGGUAGCGAAGAGGAUUAGAUA
rnacentral:rRNA from 1 species